rnacentral:rRNA from 1 species
AACGAACGCUGGCGGCAGGCCUAACACAUGCAAGUCGAGCGGACCCUUCGGGGUUAGCGGCGGACGGGUGAGUAACGCGUGGGAAUAUGCCCUUCUCUACGGAAUAGUCCUGGGAAACUGGGGGUAAUACCGUAUACGCUCUUUGGGGGAAAGAUUUAUCGGGGAAGGAUUAGCCCGCGUUGGAUUAGGUAGUUGGUGGGGUAAUGGCCUACCAAGCCGACGAUCCAUAGCUGGUUUGAGAGGAUGAUCAGCCACACUGGGACUGAGACACGGCCCAGACUCCUACGGGAGGCAGCAGUGGGGAAUCUUAGACAAUGGGGGCAACCCUGAUCUAGCCAUGCCGCGUGAGUGAUGAAGGCCUUAGGGUUGUAAAGCUCUUUCAGCUGGGAAGAUAAUGACGGUACCAGCAGAAGAAGCCCCGGCUAACUCCGUG